rnacentral:rRNA from 1 species
UACAAGCCAAAUUAAGGUGAAACCGCGAAAGGCUCAUUAAAUCAGUUAUGGUUCCUUAGAUCGUACACACAUUUACUUGGAUAACUGUGGUAAUUCUAGAGCUAAUACAUGCAAACAGAGUUCCGACCGGAGACGGAAGGAGCGCUUUUAUUAGAUCAAAACCAAUCGGUGGCGGGCUUGCUCGUCAUCGUAAUACUUGGUGACUCUGAAUAACUUUACGCUGAUCGCACGGUCUCGCACCGGCGACGCAUCUUUCAAAUGUCUGCCUUAUCAACUGUCGAUGGUAGGUUCUGCGCCUACCAUGGUUGUAACGGGUAACGGGGAAUCAGGGUUCGAUUCCGGAGAGGGAGCCUGAGAAACGGCUACCACAUCCAAGGAAGGCAGCAGGCGCGCAAAUUACCCACUCCCGGCACGGGGAGGUAGUGACGAAAAAUAACGAUACGGGACUCAUCCGAGGCCCCGUAAUCGGAAUGAGUACACUCUAAACCCUUUAACGAGGAUCAAUUGGAGGGCAAGUCUGGUGCCAGCAGCCGCGGUAAUUCCAGCUCCAAUAGCGUAUAUUAAAGUUGUUGCGGGUU